ACUCUGUGCUGCCUGGUCUCACGGAGGAGGCCGACGCCACAACGACGGAGGGCGUGGCGAGCACUGACGCCGCGCCUGUUCAGCGCCUGGCCGAUACCCCCAGCCUGGAGUUUCUUGAGGAGAGAGCUGUCUCUGCUGAAGUAGCCAUAACACCAGACGGAGACAUGCAGCAGAGACCCCCUAUGGUGCCCAAGCUGGCCUGGGUGAAGGAGGAGGAGAAGGAGGAAAGCCCUAGGGCUGCUCCAACACAGCAGCCUGAAGAGGUGCAGCAGGUGCAGCCCCCGCAGGAGGAUGCAGGCCAGGAGCAGACAGAAGAGCAGCUCCGUGCCCGUGGCCGCUUCCGCAGGGCAGCACAGGUACC